GAGUUUGAUCGUGGCUCAGAGUGAACGCUGGCGGUAGGCCUAACACAUGCAAGUCGAACGGUAACAGGUCUUUCGGGAUGCUGACGAGUGGCGGACGGGUGAGGAAUACAUCGGAAUCUGCUCAGUCGUGGGGGAUAACGCAUGGAGACGUGCGCUAAUACCGCAUACGACCUUCGGGUGAAAGCAGGGGAAUCUCUCGGGAUCCUUGCGCGAUUGAAUGAGCCGAUGUCGGAUUAGCUAGUUGGUAGGGUAAAAGCCUACCAAGGCCACGAUCCGUAGCUGGUCUGAGAGGAUGAUCAGCCACACUGGGACUGAGACACGGCCCAGACUCCUGCGGGAGGCAGCAGUGGGGAAUAUUGGACAAUGGGGGCAACCCUGAUCCAGCCAUACCGCGUGGGUGAAGAAGGCCUUCUGGGUUGUAAAGCCCUUUUGUUGGGGAAGAAAAACAACGGGUUAAUACCCCGUUGGUAUGACGGUACCCAAAGAAUAAGCACCGGCUAACUUCGUGCCAGCAGCCGCGGUAAUACGAAGGGUGCAAGCGUUACUCGGAAUUACUGGGCGUAAAGGGUGCGUAGGUGGUUGCGCCAGUCUGUCGUGAAAGCCCUGGGCUUAACCUGGGAAUGGCGAUGGAAACUGUGCAACUAGAGUGUGACAGAGGGUGGUGGAAUUCCUGGUGUAGCAGUGAAAUGCGUAGAGAUCAGGAGGAACAUUCGUGGCGAAGGCGGCCACCUGGGUCAACACUGACACUGAGGCACGAAAGCGUGGGGAGCAAACAGGAUUAGAUACCCUGGUAGUCCACGCCCUAAACGAUGCGAACUGGAUGUUGGGUCCAACUUGGGAUUCAGUAUCGAAGCUAACGCGUUAAGUUCGCCGCCUGGGAGUACGGUCGCAAGACUGAAACUCAAAGGAAUUGACGGGGGCCCGCACAAGCGGUGGAGUAUGUGGUUUAAUUCGAUGCAACGCGCAGAACCUUACCUGGCCUUGACAUGCACGGAACCUUUG
rnacentral:rRNA from 1 species